rnacentral:lncRNA from 1 species
GAAAAAGGACUAGAAGCACAAGACCCAUGAUUAAAGGUAGAACCAUCUGCUGACGUAUCAAACUUGAACUUCCAGCUGAUAUUGAGGUUGAUAUUGAAGUUGAUGGGUGUUGCGAAGUUGACAUAAUGGCAAACUCAGAAUGCAAAUCUGCGAGCUCAUUUAAGUUUACGAACUCUACACCUCAUCCAAAGUUGCAAACUCAUUCAUUACUGCGAGCUCAUUUGAAGAUGUGAGUUCACCCAAAGAAGCGAGCUCAUCAAAAGAUGCGAACUCAACCCGUGAGGUAAAUCAUGUGCCACUGAUUAAUCUAUGACCAUUUUAUGAUCUUUAUAUUAUUAGAUAAUUAAAAAAAUUAUUAAUAAUUAAAUGACUAGUAGUAUAAUUUAUUCAAAAAAAUUCAAACCCAAACUGACUCAAAUCCAUAUACUUUGUGUGUAAGCAGAUGAGGUUUGAUGGUGAAACAAG